rnacentral:rRNA from 1 species
UACAGAGGGUGCAAGCGUUGUUCGGAAUCAUUGGGCGUAAAGGGCGUGUAGGCGGUUUGUUAAGUCAUGUGUGAAAUCCCUCGGCUCAACCGGGGAACGACGCAUGAAACUGGCAAGCUAGAGUACCAAAGAGGGGGGUGGAAUUCCCGGUGUAGCGGUGAAAUGCGUAGAGAUCUGGAGGAACACCGGUGGCGAAGGCAGCCUUCUGGGCCAACACUGACGCUCAUGCACGAAAGCGUGGGGAGCAAACAGG